CAAAUUAAAGCUUUAUAGUAAGCAUUUUAUUUACAUUAAAAAGACGACUUUGGAAUUCAGUCUAAUUUGA
rnacentral:tRNA from 1 species